UGCUCCCCGGUGUAAGUGAAGUCUUCCAUGGGGGAUCUUCAGAGUCUGUCCUAUCCUUUGGGAUAGGGGCUAGGCCCUCCUUUGUGUGUCUAGGCUGAGGGAGUAUCCCUCUAUGCGAAAACAUUGCAUAGAGGAAAACAUCGCAUAGUUGGAAAGCUAAAGAAACUGAAAGCUCUUGAGUGGUAGCUGGCCUCCCUGAAGAUGAAUCUCCUAAUAAGAUCUAUGUAGGGAGUGAUCCCCAAAGAACAGUUCAUGGGGUCACAGUCCAUAACAGCCAAAGAGCCUGGCUUAUAAGGUUUCUGACAAAUUUUCAUUGUAUUCUUUUCUAGCAGAUGUCUGGGAAAUUGCUUCUUCCAGCAUGAUGAUUAUUUUGUCUUGCCCCACCCACUGUGACCCUUCUUUGUAACAUGGAGCUGCUCUUGAGAGUGUAAAUGUGCCUUGUAGCUGCCACGUUUGUCUGAGAAAGCUUGUGACCCAACCAUGUACCAUUCCUUUCCUUAUUAGAGGAUAAAAACCAUGGGUUCCAGGCAUCCACUCAGAGAAAAACUUGCUUCUAACCUGUUUACUAUUUUGUGUUAAAUAUGUUUUCAUGUUUAUGUAUGUGGUGUGUGUUCAUGUGUUUGUAUGUGCUUGUGCUUGUGUGGGAUGCAUGUACCUGUACAGGUCUGAAAUAGAUAUGGAGAAUCUUAGUUGAUCACUCUUCUACCUUAUUGUUUGGGUGGGGUCUCUUAACCAAACCAAGACCUGGUAGGCCCCUUGUUCCAGUGAUCUUUUGUCUGUUCCUUCUGAGGCUAGAAGUACAGAGGCGGCACCCCCAGUAUUCAGUCUUUAUGUGAGCUUUGUGGAUCUGUAUUCUCAUAUUCUUGCUUGUGAUGCAAGUGCUUUAACUGCUGAGACAUCUCUCUAGUUCACAUAGAUGCAUUUCAUCCAUGUUAACAUAUAAACAUUAUUUUAGAAAGAGUGAAGAUACUAUUUAAUUGGAAAUGAGGAAAAAUGAAAAUUACCAGAUUAAAACUUCUACUCUAACACACUUGAAAAUAUUUGCCUUUAGUAUACACAUAUUAAAACUGUUAGUUCUCUCAAUAAGAUGUUCAGCAGUAGAAGGUACAAUGAACAUAAUAAAGAAGACAAAUACGAAGUCUUAUGCUACAUAAGACUGCCUGCAGACAGAGGAGUCUGAUACAUACUUAAAAAUCACCCAAGUAAGAUGAAAAGUAGUGAUUGAAGAAACACUGUAACCUGGGCUGGUUAUGGAAGGAACAAGUCCAUCAGAGGAGUAAGACAUCCACAUGUUCUCCAGGGCAUCUUAAGAGAUUGACUCCACUUAGAUUAAUGACAUACUAACCAGUAUGACAGAAAGAUGAGCAAAAGAAACCUAAAAGAGAAGAUCCUUGACAGGGCACAUGGGAAUAAAUUUAUGUGGAAUGAACAAUAUAAUGUUUUGAUAUCUAUGGAGUUUAAGUGAAGACCACAGGGAGCUAUUGAAAAUUAUUGAAUAAUAAAAUGACACAAUGAACAUGUUCUGGCAACUAUCUGCAAAUUAUAUAAAAUAGAAAUAUUACUUUUGUAAUUUAAUUUGAUUUGGUGAUAGUCAUUCAUUGUAAAUAUGAAAGAUUUCUCAGGGCUUAUAUGUCACCAAGUAUAAACACCACAAUAAUACACACAGAUGCAUGCAAACGUGUGCAUAUGAUAUCAUAAUUGCUCUCCAUUUCCUUAGGAGAGAAUUUUCCUUUAUUAGCAUUCUGGUUCCUGGAGCAACACAUGAUGAAAUGAGUUCUCAUUCUAUCUCUGGAUUUGCUAUGGCUUCCUAGGCUGAUCUGCACAUUGUGCUCAUUUUCUUUCUUGGUAUUAUUGCACUGUCCCUAUGCUGCAAAAAGGGAAAGGUGGGAGAAGUAGUCUUCAUAGCCAAGAAGACGUUUUACAAUUAAGACUCAUGAUUAUAAAUAUAUUAAAACCAGAAAGUGUUGUUUCUUUUUGCCUUACAAUGAACAGUCUUUCAAAUGUUGGCUUGGUGCUAAAGGGAACCCCAAUAUUAGCCAGUUCCAGAAAAUUCUUUUUAUACCUCAGGAAUCAAAAGUCAUUUGUUAUAGGCAAAUGAAAAAUAAGUUUUUUUUUUCUAGUGAUGGCCUUUUCACUACAUCAUGUCAUGGUGGAGGAUAUCAUGUGCUGAGUCAAGGAAAACCUGCUAGUUUGGCCUUUUCUCCUUGUUUUCAGAAAACUAGUGCUGUCAGUCCUCAACCUCCUGACCUGUCCCUGAAAACCACCAUAUACGGGCUUCUUAAAGAACACACAUUACAAGGGAAAAGCACACAAAUGUACAGUGUGAGGUCUCUGAAACUUUCAAAAUACAAAUUAUAUUAUAAAACAGUUACAAAGGGACUCAUACCUGGAGUCCAUCCUCAGACCAGAGGUCUCCAAUCAGGGAUCCCAGACUGAUUCUGAAAUCUUCACCCAUCUCCAUGGCCUGCUGCCUGAGAGACAUAUGUCUCAGGUCUACCUUCCAGGUAUUCUUUUGGUCCAUCUUUCCAGGAUGAGGACCUAGGUUCAUGUCAGCCCCCAGAUGGGCUACAUGAGAGCUAUACCCUCCCCCACUUCCUCUCUGCUCCCUUCCCUUCAGGAGGCUAGAAUCAGUCAGCUAACCCUAUCUGCCUUUGUCCCUGUCCAACAGACUUCAUUCUCCACAUGAGGACUCCAGAGUCACAUCACUAACGCCAUGCAUGGCAAUCCUGAGAAACACAUUUUGUUCUCCUGCUGACCAGCCCUUCUCUAUGUGGGACCCUCAUUUUUCCCACCAACUCCACUCACACCUGUGUCAUGCCUGAGGAUCAUGUGUGCUCUUUUACUAGCUUGGGGACUCAGACUCCCAUUGUCCACUAUAUCUACCCAAGGUGCCGGAGGAGAAGUCUUAAGCUCCUCUACCAGUCUCCCAAGGAUUGGCUAUGUUUUCCAGUUCUGUGGAAGGUCUGCUCCUCUUAGAAAAGUCACCUAUUUAUGGAUGAGAAUUUCACAAUCACUUAUUCUCUGUUAAUUGCCAUGAGGGCUUCGGCUAAUGAAGGAGUCACUCUCCAUGACCUUAGUGUGUACAUAGAUAAUUCAAAUAUGAAGCUAAUCUCAAUUCUUCAGAUGUGAUUUAACAAUUACUCAGUCCUUGAGCAACAUUCAAGUUUAUAUUUGAGAGUGUGAGGAAGACAUUGAAGAUAACCAUUCUUACUACUCUAAAAAUUGCUAUGAAGGAAACCUUGAAAGUGAUAGUAAAAUGCAUGUAUAGAAUUGAAAAGCAUUGUGUUAUAUGAAAGAAACCAUACAUACAAAGACAAAUAUUGCAUGUUUUCAACCUUAUCUGGCUGUUACUGUCAUUGAAGAGAGAAUGUGGUCAUGGGGUGUGAGAAGUAUAGCAAGAGAGAAGGAGACUGGAUGAUAAGGACAGUAGUGUUUAUAGCUCAUUAGAAUGAUCAUAGUUUGCAACAAUUUAUUACAUAUUUCAUGAGGAUCUAGAGGAAUAAAUUUGAAUAAUUUAAAUACAUAGAAAUGAUAAAUGUUUGUUGAGGUAUAAUUGUAAAUACUCAGAAUUAAUUGCAUAUAUAUUAUCAUAUAUCAUAAACAGGUACAAUUACUAUAUGCUAAUUAAAAUAGUAAACAUUGACUAAUUAUUCAUAAGUGGAAGGUAACAAAAGACAUAGCCUAAGCUACAAUAGAGAUCCCAGGAUGUUGAAGGUCCAGGGACUGUUGGAUGUUUGCAGAAGAAAAACUUCAUGUAGGGAGUACAGCCAACCACAGAGAGAAGCUAAAUGCUCUGAUGGCUUGCAAAACUCAAGAGUCACGUCUAUCAAAGGCCAUUGGAGCCAAGAUAUCCCGUUGAAAUCCCUAGAUGCUGGAUGUAGAGCUGUUGUUAUUACUGCUUUCUCUGAUGGGCUUCAACUUUGCUUUGGCCUGAUAUUUCUUUGCUACUCUACCGAUCUUCUCUCUGAAAUGGGAAUGUGUUCUAUGUGUCUUUAUAUAAUGGAAGUAUACAGAUCAUAUUUUGUUCUUACAGGGGUCUCACAGUUAAGAGUUUGUCUUGAGUCCCAGAAGAGUCUACACAUUUAGAUUAGUGUUAAAACUUUUAAAAUAAUAUUUUGAAGUUGGGCUGAAUGUAUUUUUCAUUAGGAAAUGAACAUGAGACUUUAGGGAUUAGGGGUUGAAUGAAGUAAUUUUAAAGUAAGGUUGUCAAGUUGAUAAGGCAUGAUUAUGACUGUCAGUUUGAUGGGAUUUGGAAGACACACAUCUGGUCAGGUCUGUGACAGUGUUUUCAAAGAGAUUUAAUGAAAUGGGAAGAGCUACCCUGAAUAUGUGCUAUGCUGUCCUAUGGACUAGGGGCCCAGAGUGAAUAAAGGAAGGAAGUGAGGCAGCUAUCAGUAUUCAUCUCUUUGCCUACUAACUAUGGAUGCGAUAUGACCAAAUAACUCAUGCUCUUGCUGCCAUGCUUGCCAACAUGAUGGACUGUACCAUCAACCACGAGCCAAAGUAAACCCAUCCUUCCUGAAGUUGCUCUUCUUAGUUAUUUUCUCAGAGUAAUGAGGAAAGCAACUAAUACAGGAAUCAAUAUUCAUUCAUGAGGGAUCUACUCCUGACUUAAUAUGUUCACAAAAUUCCAGAUACAUUCCUUAUUGAUGAAUAGUUUUCAAAUAUAAACGUGAGGCGUCAAUCAAUUCUACCACUGUUACACCUGGAUUGAGUGGCAUGCCUAAAAUCAAAACUGCAUCUGUAUGAUCUUCCCUGUGGUCUCAGCCUGGGGAUUGAAGAGGAGGGACGGUGUUCUUGAAUUAAGAUUAAGGGAGGGAAUUAAAUUGUUUGAGUGAUGUUGACAGAUGUUUAUGAUCUCAGCACUUGAGUUUUGAAUGGCUAGAGGAGAUGAGGAGAGUGGGAGAGUUCAAAGAUGACUUCCAGGUGUGUGAAAUGGAUAAUGCCCAGGACUGGGUGUAAUAAUGGAUAGGUUCUACUCUGAGCUUCUCAGCUGCUCAAGAAUAGCAGUACUGAAAGAUAAAUAAAAGCUUUAUUUUCCCUGAAAAAUUUUGGUGAAAUAAGGCAAAUUCUGAAUUGGGGUACUUGUGCUUCUCAAAAUAAAGGAACAUCGAUGUGUUUGUUUCUCAAAACAAUUGCUUCACUUAUUUAUACUUUCUCCUGUCUCUAAAACAAAAGACAAAAGAAGGGGUAAUACUGACCUAAUCAGAGAGUGAUCCAGUGCCAGGGGUAAGAGGAUUGAGCAACAGAAUUAAUAAUGCAGCAUUGGCAUUCAAAAUGCAGAGGGAUCAUGUCUGUGAUGUGUGUUUAGUCAUAACUGGGUGAAUUACACCUCAUGCCUUUGAAGCUUGGAGACCCCCUUGGAAUAAGGGACAGGAAUAUUGCAAUGGCCAGAGUUUGGGGAGGAUAUGGGUUAAACAGAAUAUCCCAGACAUGAAAGUCUGCUGAACUCAGAGCAGCUGUGGUUGCCUUCACAAGUCCAUCACAAAAUCAAGCCCAUCAACAUUCCAGUCUGGAGAAGGGAGAUGCCAUUCCUGCCUCUAAGGGGAGGAGCUGUUGACAGUUUUUGGUUACUGGGGGAGGGAGAAUCACUUUUUCUUAAAGGUGUGACCAGUGGUAGGUCAACCAUACCUAGUGGAUGGUAUCAUACCCAUAAGAGAUUGAGCAGCUUUAAUUGGAAUAUGUGAAUUAUAAAAAAAAUAGAGGAUAUGAAGUAGAGAAGUGUGGGAGGUAAAUUCAGGAGGAGUUAGGGAAAUAGUGGGAUGUGAAUAAAAUAUGUAUAUAUGUAUAUAUAUGUUUACACACACAUAUGAAAUUCUCAAAGAAUUGAUAAAAAUAUAUUUAAAAAUAAUGGCUCUGGGCUCUGGAGGACCAACACAGUUCUGUUCAAGGUCCCUAGACUUGGGGCAGGAAGAAUUCACCUAAGAAUCACUUUUUUUAUUGAGUAGUGUUUAAAAUAGUAAGAGGCAUGGUACAACUGACCUUAUCCAUAUGAGUGGUUUGCCAUGAGUUGUACUGAUGAGUCAUGGACUUCUGUUAGGAUCUGAUGAGAAUGGUAUUUUAUUUUUAUUACAGAAGAAUCUCAUAGAUACAACAAGUAUCUGCGAAGUAGGAUCCUGCAUUGGCUACUAAGGCAGAAAUCUACCACUAAAGACAAAACUGGUACAAUCCGCUGGGCACGCCUUUAAUCCCAGCACUCGGGAGGCAGAGGCAGGCGGAUCUCUGUGAGUUCGAGGCCAGCCUGGUCUCCAGAGCGAGUGCCAGGAUAGGCUCCAAAGCUACACAGAGAAACCCUAUCUCGAAAAACCAACCAACCAAACAAACAUACAAAAACUGGUGCAAUCUGGAUGAAGUUUGAGGUUUAAUUAAUAGAAACAGGUAUAUUGGUUCUGAGUCUUAAAACUGAAUGCUGGGAAAGUCAGAUGGUGCGCUGAGGAAAGGGGCACCUGCUGUAUCAGAAUCCCCUGUACUGUAACUCUAAAAAUAAAAUUAUUCUAAAAUAGUUUAUUUAAAGCCAACUAUUGUUUCAAGGAAAUUCUUGUGUUUAUGAAUGUGUCUGCACAUGCAUGUGUCUGUAUGUUAAUCUGUAGAGUUUGGCAGGUGGUUGACAAUUCCCAUAUUAAGUAGUAAUGACGACAUUUUAGUUUAAUGUUUCCAUUAGAUGUUGCCUGCCUUGUAUGUGUUCAUAAACCCUCAUGGUAUAUAGUCACAGCAUAGCUUCUGCAUAUACGGUCAUCUUUGUGUUUAUUUUCACCCAGCUAUGGAACACAAGUGUUUUGAUUGACAACUCUUUUGAGCACUGAGGCCCUCACUACCCAGAGGCGUUAGCAAAUGGGAAGACAGUGCAUGCACACUUUGAUUUCAUUCAGUGAUGAAUGCAAAUCACUUCCAAAGCUCAAACCAGAGACAGUUGUAACCAGUGCUGUACUGAUGGAAUGGCACUGUGUUUGUGGUAUCAGUGAAGGCAGAAGUCUCAGAUCAUGAACUCAAUUCCUUCCAAAGUCUCCAGGCCACACACAGAUUAGGUGUGGUCUCUGGCGUGGAUGAAACCACAGAGUCAUCGUCAUGACCAAAGGCAUUAAUCUCUAUCAUCUCUAAAAACACUGAGGAUUUUCUGGAUAUUUUAAAAUAAAAAUCUAUCAUGGCUGUUGGACAGUGAUAUCUGAGAACAUCAGAUGCAAGUGUCUCGGUUCUUGCUCCUUGGGAAUAUGAGUAAGAGAGAACAGAAGAUGAGUCACAUCCACAGCUAAAAGACUGAAAUGUCCUGAGUAUUUGACAGCUGUUAACCAUUAAAAUAAUGGAGUUUGAACUUCAACCUUUCAAAAAUUUUUUCUUAGUUUAAGAAAUGAUUCAUUAAGAAAAUUGCAUGAAAACAAUUGCCAUGAAGUUAAGGUUCAGCCAGACAAGAAAUUAAAACCAAGGUUGAUGAAGUACUGUGACAAUGUCAAAUUAAGGAAGAAGGAUUUGAUUGUAGCUCACAGUUCAAGACACAGUCCAGCAUGGAAGGUCUAUGGCACCAGCACGUGGAAUGGUACUUCUUGCAUUCAAGGUGUUCAAGAGACCAAUGUAAUAUGAAGAUUAUAAGAAAUGGAAAAAGUGAAAUGUGCCUCAGAGUUUUGGAUGGACUUUUGGCAUGUGAUGGAUGAAUGGAGACAGGAAGCCAAGGAGCUUUUAAGUGAAAACUGGAACCUCAGCCAGGAUCUUGGAAAGCCAAUAAGUGAAAACAUCAGCAUGUUUUAAAAAGAUUAAAACAAAUCACAGUGUAAAGAUAACUCUGGGGAUAAGAUUUCACUGAUAGCCAGUGAGAACAUGGGUUAGACAUGUUCUGAAUGACCAAAUGAAGAAAAAGAAGGGGAAUGUUUGGAAAUGCAUUAUCAUGCAUUUGCUACAACACUGUAAUUUUGUAAUUGAUAGAAACCACACUGUUUAUCUCCUAAGGAUUAUGAUUUUGUUCUCUUGUCUAUUAAAUUGAAGUAAAAUCUUUAAUAUGCAAAUAAGACCUGUGUGAUCUCUCUGGCUGUGACCUGCUUUCUUGAUACUCCACUUAGCAAUGACUGCAUCAUUUCUC